CUGUUGGAAUAUUAGGUUUUUUUUUUUUUGACAAAAGCAACAUGCUGCCAGCAAGAGCCUAGACUGUGAGCCCUCGGUGGUGGUCCUCUCUAACAUAAGUGAUGCAUGUGGAAGUGCUCCCCCGGAAGCUGACAGAAGGCCCAGCAGCAUAAAGAAAGGCAGCCCUGUCCCACUGGGUGAAGAGCAGCAGUGUUUGUUGCUCAGGGAUUUGUGGGAGGGCAAAAGACACAAAUCAGACUCUCCAAAAGUUCCCAGGACCCACAGAACUCUGAUUCGGGGAGAAAUUGAGCCUAAGAAUGUAACCAUGAUCACAGACAGUUAAUUUGACCUUCAGGCCUUCCCAUGUCACCAGCUACCCUGGUAGCAAGUUUGAAAUGAGGAUCUACAUGACUCUUCUUUGAUCAUCAGAAGGGCAGAUGGCCCCAUUCUUAGCAGGGAACAUACUGUGAUCAUUCCAGUAAAGGUAGUCACCAUGAGAGAGUUUCUAUUCUACAAGCCCAUUUCCUGGAGGCUGAGGAGCUGGCUCAGUGGUUAAGAGCACUUGUGACUCUUGUGGAGGACCUGGCAUCUACAUGGAAGUUCACAGUCAUCUGUAACUCCCGGUCUAGAGGAUCUAACACCCUCCUCUGGCCUCAAUGGUUCUCUCUCUCUCUCUCUCUCUCUCUCUCUCUCUCUCUCUCUCUCUCUCUCUCUCUCACACACACACACACACACACACACACACACACACACACACACUACUCACCUCAGAAAAGAAACCUAUGACAGACCAAAGUAGUGAUUUCGCUGAAGUUCAACUUAGUGAACCAAAGAGCUUUUAUUGAGGUUACUUAUAAGAAUGUGGGGGAUGGCUUACUUAUAGGAGCAGAGAUGACUCAAAAGGGACUGUGUUAUUGAAAUUGUCACCAUGUGAGUGUUGGUAUCAGGACCUCUGAAACCCAUGACAUCACAUAGGUAAGACCUGAACACCUGUUGCCAAGGCAACAGCCACCAUAUUCCCAGAAUCCACUUGGCUCCCCUCCCAUCUUUAACUGUGAUUUCGUCAUCACCCAUAUAUAAAGAAAGCCCCCCUCCCCAUCUCUCACUCUCUCUUUCCCUCCCUUCUUUUUCCACCGUUACCUUGCCCCUCUCUCUCCUAGUAAACCUCAUGUGGAACUGUUUGGCCUGGUGUGGUCCUUCUGAAGCCGGGAGACAUUCAAGAUCAUAACAAUGAGUACUCAUGAAACCUGCAAUCCUGGAGCUCUCUGCAUCGCUUGUAUGCAGCUCAACAGGCCCCAGAGAUCUCCUCACUACAAUGAAGCUGGUAUGAGGCUUCUCCUUCACCAGGUACAGAGUGGGACUGGAGACCGGAAGCAGCGGGGACUCCCGCUAGGAUGUGUGUGGUGGUACUGAGAAGCUGCUCGGUGCUGGCAAUGGCUUCCCUACUGGGUUACCACGAGCUGCACCUUAGCAGAGAUGCGCGUCCCUCAGCGGCCUAUUUGUUUCCUGCUUUGCUUUGAUAAGUGGUAUCUGCGAUGACAGCGAGAGCACACAUAUAUCUAACUUUAAAAAGAUUCGAUUCUGCCCAUUAUGAUUUCCUCGCUGCUGGUAUUUUGAUGAAGAGGGAGACAGACAGUAACGCUUCCCCGAGAAAGAAACGGAUCUCAUCCUACCUCCUGUUGGUCUUCUGUGUCUGUGUUAGCCACUGUCAGCGGAAACCAGAGAAGACUAGGUCUUGCGUUAUGAGAGCCAGAGCCUAGGGCCUGACACAGUUCAUUCUUCAUCGUAGAACCCAGGUGACUCCUCCUUCCAGGACCCAUCAAAAUCUUAUCUUUAAUUCAUAAAGUGUAUAUUUGCUAAGCCUUGACUGUGUACCAGUAUGUGUAAUAAUCACUGGAUUCAACAUUGAGAGCACUGUCUCUCUCUUCCUUUCUCUUCUCUCUAGUGAAAACUGUUCUCUUGGCUCUUAAUUUAGUGGAAGAGAUAAAUCAAACAAAACAAAGUUGAUGUGUUCCGUAAUUGAGGAAACACAGCAGGUCUGUUGUAGUUCACGACGGAGACAAACCGCCUGGUUUUGGGGGUGUCGUAGAAGGAAGUGGUGCCAGGCGUGGUGGCGCAUGCCUUUAAUCCCAGCACUUGGGAGGCAGAGGCAGGGGGAUUUCUGAGUUCAGUUCGAGGCCAGCCUGGUCUACAAAGUGAGUUCCAGAACAGCCAGAGCUAUACAGAGAAACCCCGACUAAAAACAAAACAAAACAAAACAAAACAAAACAAAACAAAACAAAACAAAACAAACAAACAAAAAAGUAACGGUUAGACUAAAGGAGGAGGGUGCACAUGCCAAAUGCAUCCUGUAGGUGGCGCUGCACACACACACACACACACACACACACACACACACACACACACACACACUCGCCGUUAAUGCCUUGUUUGCUCUGAGUUAACUUUCCGUCUCAGGUGGCUUUGGGGUUUGCAAACCCUUUCCUAGCUGUGGCAUCCCCUCCCCCCCAGACAGAGACAGACAGACAGACAGACACACACACACACACACACACACACACACACACACACACACACACACAGAUACGGUUCAUGAUCUCAAGAAUGUGACAGGAAGACCCAGGUCUCUUUCAGGAACAGUACACACCAGAGUGAGACUACAGGGAAAGGCAAGAGGGGCAGAUGGCGGCCUUUGCCAUACAAACCUUUUGCACAUUGUUUUGGGUCAGUGGGAAGUCAAAGAAUGUGAAUUCAGAUAAAUGAGUGAGAUCUUUUAGAAAAGUCAUGCUGGUUGCGGAAUGGAGAAUGAGCUGGAAAGGAACAGAGGCUUGUGUGCUGGGUUGCUGGUGCUAGCAAGGAUGGUAGCCUGCAUGGUUCAAUACUUGUUUGUCUUUGGAAAUGGUUUUACUGGUUUUGUUUCCCUAGCACAGUGGGAGUGGCUCCACAAAAGCUUGCUGAGAGGACAUUAUUCUUGCCUUCUUUUUUAUCUUAUGUAUAUGGGUGUUUUGCCUGCACGUGUGUCUGUGCAUCAUGUGCAUGCAGUACACAAGAAUGCCAGAAGAGGGCGUCAGAUCUCCUGGAACUGGAGUUACAGACGGUUGUGAGUCACAAUUGUGGGUGCUGGGAAUCAAAUCAGGAUCCUCUGGAAAAGCAGCCAGUGCUCUUAACUGCGGAGCCAUCUCCCCAGCCCUAUUCUUCCUUUCAUUAUGAAACAAACACAGUUUAAUACUCAUUAUCUUUUUCCUAUAUGUGUAAGCCUGGGUUACUUGCUGUUCUAAGCAUGUGAGAAGGGUUUAGGAAACCCCCUGUGAUAACCAUUCUUUGAGAUAGUAAGGAUGUUUUUCAGACAGGUUCUACACUGUUUCAGAAACAGUUGCUGGUUCGAAAAAAUAAGUUAGCUACUAUUUUCAUUUAAAAAAAUCAAUAUAAGUUUCAUUCAUUCAGGUAUUUCCUGAAGCCAUUAUUUGUAUGUCCAGCCAUUUCUUCUCAUUUUAAUGAACAAAGAGAUGCCCAAGAGGCAAGGGCAAGCAUCUACUAAGCAUGCUAAGCUGUGAUCCUCAUAAUAAAUGCCUUUGAGCACAUGUACAGGCUCGGCGACAAUACUCUCGACAGCCUGGGUGCAACCCACUGCUGUGUUGGACCCUGUUGCACAAGACCUCCUGGUUAGGGCUGGUGAGAGAGUUCAGUGGGUAAAGUGCCUGCCUGUGCGAGCAUAAGGACCCCAGCUCAGAUCCCACCAUCCACAUAAAAAGACAGAAAUGAGCUGGCUGGUGGUGGCGCACGCCUUCAAUCUCAGCACUCAGGAGGCAGAGGCAGAGGUAGGUGGAUCUCUGAGUUCGAGGCCAGCUUGGUCUACAGACAGCCAGGGCUGCACAGAGAAGCCCCAUCUCAGAAAACAAAAUAAAACAAAACAAAACAAACAAACAAACAACAACAACAACAAGAAUCUUUAAUUCUAGUUUGGGGGAAGGUGUAGACUGAGAAGUGCAGAUACCUGAGGUGAACUGGCCUGUCAGUCUAGUCAAGGAGUGAACUCUGGGCUCUGUUUCAGAAAAAAAAAAAAAAAAAGAAAGAAAGAAAAAGAAAAAGGAAAAAAGGAAAGAAAAAGGAAAAGAAAAAAAUGGCAGACAGCGAUUGAUGAAGACACCAAUAUUCACAUAUAACCUCUCUGACAUGGACACACAUACACUCAUGUACACACACAUGCACAUACAUGUACACGCACAUGCACACACAUACAUGCAAACACAUGCACUCACAUUUUUGUGUACUCGGAAGCACAUGAACACAUAACGCAAGAGCUCAGUCUUUCCCGCUUCACACGCACAGACUGAAAAGGGCUCCACCCUUGCGUGAGUAUUUUUUUUUUUAAAGAUUUAUUUAUUUAUUAUAUGGAAGUACACUGUAGCUGUCUUCAGACACUCCAGAAGAGGGCGUCAGAUCAUGUUACAGAUGGUUGUGAGCCACCAUGUGGUUGCUGGGAUUUGAACUCCGGACCUUCGGAAGAGCAGUCGGGUGCUCUUACCCACUGAGCCAUUUCACCAGCCCGCGUGAGUAUUUUUAAUUAUAAUAUCAUCACAACUUUUGAACAAGAAGUUCAAAAGUUUGGACUUGAUAGUAACUUCUCAGUUUGUACCAAACUCUGUGGAUUUUAUGAAUGAGGAGUCCUGUCUAAAACACUGCCAUUUUUAUCCUUAUUUCAUUUGAGAUGAAUUUGAGGUUAAAGAAUUGAAACAAGUUGUUUUCGCACACACCACUGAUAGAUAACAGGAAGCUUGUCUCCGGAGCCCUGGGGUCUCCCUUUGUUCUUCCUUGUGUACGUACCUAAGGGAUGUGAGCUUCACCUCCUCAUUUCUGUAGUAAUUACUACUUUGCUAUCUUCCUUUAGUAGUACAGCAAGGUAUCUUGAGCCCUUUGAGUCCAAAUGCUGUGUCAAAUGCUCGCUCUGCCUCAUACCGCUGGACCUGAUUCCCACGGGAUCAGCAUGCUGGUAUUGGAAGCUACCGAGAAACCUCCUGCAGCUUUGGUGGGUGAGCACUCUCACAGUUGCUUUUAUUGCUGGGCUACAAUACCCUGGCCAAAUAAGCUUAAUGGAGAAAGGGCUAAUUGUGGUUCCCAGUUCCAGAUUAUAAUAUGUCACGGCAAGGAAGUCACAAUCAAGAAGCUUG
rnacentral:lncRNA from 1 species